UACGAAGGGGGCUAGCGUUGUUCGGAUUUACUGGGCGUAAAGCGCACGUAGGCGGAUUGUUAAGUCAGGGGUGAAAUCCUGGAGCUCAACUCCAGAACUGCCUUUGAUACUGGCAAUCUUGAGUCCGGAAGAGGUGAGUGGAACUCCUAGUGUAGAGGUGAAAUGCGCAGAUAUCAGGAGGAACACCGGUGGCGAAGGCGGUUCUCUGGGACGGUACUGACGCUGAGACGCGAAAGCGUGGGGAGCAAACAGG
rnacentral:rRNA from 1 species